CUUGCGGACAACACAGGAUGAAUGUUACAACAACAAGGACUGUACCUGGCUGCAAUGCAUUUCAAUGAAAAUGCACGUCUGCAAGCAACUACCUCAUCUGGAGAGCCCAUGUAGAUUAUUCUUUCCCAAGUUCAAGAAGGGAGAAAGCACAGCAAAGCCUAUCAGAACUCCGGAAACCCUAAACUGCGCUGUGGAUUCAUCUCCUGUUGUCCCAGACAAGGCCAGCAUCUCCACACCACCUCCUGAUGCACGCGUCUUCACACCACCCUCUGUGCCACAUCUGAACUCAGUUCACACCCAGUGGGAGGACCCUUCACAACAGGAUCACACAUACUUCCACACAUCUCGCAGAAAGAACGUGCAGGACAAGACGACUUAGUGUGAUGAGGUUACAUAUUUGUGACCCAUCAUAUCAAAAUGAGGAUUAAGUCGAAUUUGGUCAAAAUGACCUAAUUACAUUUUCAGAUUC